UACGAAGGGAGCUAGCGUUGUUCGGAAUCACUGGGCGUAAAGCGCACGUAGGCGGAUGUGUCAGUCAGGGGUGAAAUCCCGGAGCUCAACUUCGGAACUGCCUUUGAUACAGCACGUCUUGAGUCCGAUAGAGGUGGGUGGAAUUCCUAGUGUAGAGGUGAAAUUCGUAGAUAUUAGGAAGAACACCGGGUGGCGAAGGCGGCCCACUGGAUCGGUACUGACGCUGAGGUGCGAAAGCGUGGGGAGCAAACAGG
rnacentral:rRNA from 1 species